rnacentral:rRNA from 1 species
AGCAGCCGCGGUAAUUCCAGCUCCAAUAGCGUAUAUUAAAGUUGUUGCAGUUAAAAAGCUCGUAGUUGAAUUUCGGGAUUCUACCGUUGGUCGGGCUAACAAGUCUGUACUGGUGUGUAGAAUUUCUACCUUCUGGGGAACUAUCAUGUUAUUAAUUUAGCGUGGUGGGAAACCAGGACCUUUACCUUGAAAAGAUUAGAGUGUUCAAAGCAGGCUUACGUCUGAAUACAUUAGCAUGGAAUAAUAGAAUAGGACGGUGGUCCUGUUUUGUUGGUUUCUGAAUCACCGUAAUGAUUAAUAGGGAUAGUUGGGGGCAUUAGUAUUCAAUUGUCAGAGGUGAAAUUCUUGGAUUUAUUGAAGACUAACUUCUGCGAAAGCAUUUGCCAAGGAUGUUUUCAUUAAUCAAGAACGAAAGUUAGGGGAUCGAAGACGAUCAGAUACCGUCGUAGUCUUAACCAUAAACUAUGCCGACUAGGGAUCGGACGA